rnacentral:rRNA from 1 species
UUACCCCAAAGCGGAAAAGAAACUAACAAGGAUUCCCCUAGUAAUGGCGAAUGAAGAGGGAAAAGCCCAAAUUUGUAAUCUGGCUCUUUCAGAGUCCGAGUUGUAAUUUUAAGAACUGUUUUCAGUGCUGGACCAUGUACAAGUCUGUUGAAAAGCAGCAUCAUAGAAGGUGAUAAUCCUGUUCAUGAUAUGGACUACCAGUGCAAUACGAUACAGUCUCUAAGAGUCGAGUUGUUUGGGAAUGCAGCUCAAAGUGGGUGGUAAAUUCCAUCUAAGGCUAAAUAUUGAUGAGAGACCGAUAGCAAACAAGUACCGUGAGGGAAAGAUGAAAAGAACUUUGGAAAGAGAGUUAACAGUACGUGAAAUUGUUAAAAGGGAAACAAUUGAAGUUAGACUUGUUAUUAUUAGUUCAACCUUUUUUAAAGGAGUAUUCUAAUGAUUAACAGACCAACAUCAAUUUUUGGGUGUUGGAUAAGGGUUUAAGGAAAUGUAGCAGUCUCUGGCUGUGUUAUAGUCCUGAGCUUUGAUACAAUGCUUAAGAUUGAGGAAUGCAGUAAGCCUUUUUUUUGAGGUGGAACAAAUUAGUGUUCUUCUUACUGAGGAUGUUGGUGCAAUAGCUUUAAAUGACCCGUCUUGAAACACGGGACCA